rnacentral:lncRNA from 1 species
GCGUAUUCAAACAGGCCAAAAUGCUCGACUAAAGAAAAAGAAAACAAACAAAGGUAGGUUCAGAUUUUACUCACUUUCUUUUGGUAUUUUCGUUUUAACACAGAAACAAAAUACUAACACAAAGAAGCAUCGAUGAAUUAAAAAGACAUGAACACAUAUAUAACUAUCUAGCAUUUAACAGAGGAAGGAAACUGAAUUAUGUGACAGGAAAUAGAUGAUUCACAUCACAAACACACACAUACUAUAUAUAUAUCACACGAACUUGAUCUAACACGUGGACUAUAAAAUGGAACAAGUUCACAAGAUUGAACACGAACACAAGCUAGCGGAAUAGUAACUCAGAAAGUUAAAUCGCAAGACGAAAUAUUAUACAAAGCAACUAUGGCAUUAACUGAACAUAUAGUAUGUGAUAUUGUAUUACAAGUACGAAACUGAGAUUUCAAGAACUUAUCAAAUCUGAAUAUUAAAUGUCAUAAACGUCUAAAUUUUACAGAAAUUUUAGAGAGAAUAAGAGAAAUAACAUCAGCAACUAGUUGAAGGAGAGGAAAAGCUUCAGGUUAGGAGCAGCAGUAGAUCGAGGUAGAAGGUGCAGCGGCAGAUCGUGGGAAAUGGAGCAGCAGCAGAGACGAGGGGAAAGGGAGCAGCAACAACUUUAGGGGAGAAGAGUAGCAGGUCAAUAUAGAAGGACCAGCACGGGGGCAAUGGAGAGAGAGGAGCAGCAAGGGGGCAGUGGAGAGAGAGGAGCAACAAGGGGGCAGUGGAGAGAGAGGAGCAACAAGGGGGCAGCGGGUGCAAGGGAAGGGAAGAGCAGCAGCAGCAUGGGGGAUCGGCGUUGGUGAUGGAGGUGUGUGGCGUUGGUGGCUGGGUGGUGGUGCUGGUGUGGUGCGCAAGAGAUGGAUGCUGGUGGCGUUGUUGAUGGAGAUGGCUUGGAUGGAUGGCUGGGUUGCGGCGAUGGAUGGUGGGGCUGGUUGAUGGUGCAGAUGGUGCGGUGGAGUGGGUGAUUGGCGCGUAACCACGCCGGCCUGGCUGGGGCGGCGGCCGGAGGUGGAGAAGGAUGGGUGAGUGAAGAGGAAGAUGGAGGUGCGAGGACCGAAGGGGAUUGAAGGCUGCUCUAGGGAUUUUGACCCCUCACGACUGAUUUCCUCCUUUGUAAUUUGGCCCCUCUACUUUUCUUCUUUCUGCACAAGUUGAUCCUCCGCUUCUUUAGUUUGACCCCUCGGUCUCUUCUUUCCUUCACACUUCCAAACCUUGAAGUUUAUAGUGCCUUAG